rnacentral:rRNA from 1 species
UACGUAGGCAGCGAGCGUUUGUUCGGGAAUUACUGGGCGUAAAGAGUGUGUAGGCGGUGUUCCAAGUUCGGUGUGAAAUCUCCCGGCUUAACUGGGAGGGUGCGCCGAAAACUGGAAUGCUCGAGCGUGGGAGAGGAAAGCGGAAUCCUGGUGUAGCGGUGAAAUGCGUAGAUAUCAGGAGGAACACCAGCGGUGUAGACGGCUUUCUGGACCAUUGCUGACGCUGAGACACGAAAGCGUGGGUAGCAAACAGG